CCUGCCCCUUAAGGUGUUGUGGUUGUGACUACUGUGUCACUUGUGUGUCCAUAGGUAGCAGAGAGGAGAAGGCUAUGUCUAUAUCCAUUGUUCUGACCUAACAUACAUCUGAACCAUUAUUACCCUUACAUU
ensembl:snoRNA LOC120098701 small nucleolar RNA SNORA17